rnacentral:rRNA from 1 species
GACGUAGGGAGCGAGCGUUGUCCGGAUUUAUUGGGCGUAAAGAGCUCGUAGGCUGUUCGGUAAGUCGGGUGUGAAACCCCCAGGCUCAACCUGGGGACGCCACCUGAUACUGCUGUGACUCGAGUCCGGUAGGGGAGCGUGGAAUUCCUGGUGUAGCGGUGAAAUGCGCAGAUAUCAGGAGGAACACCAGCGGCGAAGGCGGCGCUCUGGGCCGGUACUGACGCUGAGGAGCGAAAGCGUGGGUAGCAAACAGG